GUUACAGUUGACAUGUGGACACAUUCUCCCACCUGAGCUGUGGAUUUCUGCAGCUUCUUCAGACUGACCAUGGGCCUCCUGGAAGCUUCUCUGACCAGGAUGACCAGGUCUUGGUACGCUGGAUUCUUCUGAUACUGACUUAAGAGUGUCCAGCAGGCUGACGGUCAACAUCUGGAGUUUCGCUCUGAGUCCUGACCUCCUCUUUGUGCUUCUGUGGCUUAUGAGGCCAUAAAUUGGUCACCGUGGCGACCAGCAGGAUUAUUGAAAGUCCCUCGUCUGACUUUCUGAGUGUUCACCAUCACUCUGCUCUGCAGCUGGUCUCCUUUUCCACUUUGCGGUCACUUGAUGUUGAAGAGGUGAGUGUGUUAGAGGAAAUGUUAAUGUCAGGUUUAGUCUGUAUGCACUCAGAGGUCAUUUGUACCUGCUGCUGCUGCUGCGGUUGUAAUGAUGUAAACCCUGGUUGGUUGGAUAGUUGACAGCAUUUACUGAGGCAAAGCAGAACAGCUGCUGAUCCUGAGCUACUCUUACAAAUGGAAGAUCAGUGAAGAGCUUCCCUCACACAGCAUAUCCUUUAUUGCACAUGUGUCAAAGUCAAGGCCCGCGGGCCACAUCCAGCCCGCGAGAUCAUUUUAUAUAGACGUACUAUUAUUGUUAUGCAUGGCCCGGCGAUAUGAGGCGCUAAUAAUGUACAAACUACAGAUCCCAUAAUGCAGCGCUGCAGCCUCUUUGCUGAGCGCUAGGCUAACUGGGAACAUUCCCGCGUCAAUCAAGUCAAACUUUUUGCGAAGCUAGCUCCUCACAAUGGUGGAGAGAAAAGUUGAUUCUGAAAGCAGAGCCUUUCAGCGCCAGCGGGAGACUGAAUAUAUGUUUACAGACAUGCUGGUAAACCUGUGUGACUUAUUAGUGGAGCUAAUGUGGCUGUAAUUAAGGAAUUUAAUUUAAGACGAGACAAAACGUCAGGAUAAGCUGAAAAACCUAAAUGCAGAGCAGAAAAUAAAGUAGAAGAAUGAAGAAGAAUCUGACAUUUCAGCAGACGUUUUUCACCAGAGCAAAAUCACAAAGUCAAGCUGUUGUGAAAGCAAGUUUUAUUGUAGCAGAGGAGAAAGCCACAUCAGCCCGCUACCACUCUGAAGAGCUGCAUGAUGGAGGUGUGCAACGUCUUGUGUCCAGACAAAACGCAGAUUUUGGCAAAUGUGAGCCUGAGGAGAAAUACGAUUGCUGAUCGGGUUUGUGAGAUGGCCACUGAUUUAAGAACACAGUUGUGUGAAAGAAGCAAAAACUUUAUUGCAUACGCUCUUGCUGUGGAUGAAAGUACAGACAUGAUGGACACUGCACAGCUGGCCAUCUUCAUCCGUGGAGAGGAAAUAUUGAACAUUAAAUCGAUGCACAGGACAACGACGGGAAAAGACAUUUUUAAAACAUAUGUCAAAGUGUAACUGACGUGAAACGUACAACAGAUGGAGCGCCGGUGCUGUGCGGUGAAAAAAGCAGACUAGUCAGCAGGAUGCGAGUAAAGAUGCAGGAGGAGAAAUGUACCGGUGAGUUAACAGCAUAUCACUGCAUCACACACCAGGAAACGCAAGGUGGUAAAGUCCUAAAAAUGGAGCAUAUAAUGAUCGCCGUAACGCAAACCGUAAAUUUUAUCCGAACUAAAGGUUUAAAUCACCGUCAGUUUCAGUCUUUUAUGUGGGAAAUAGAUUCAGAGUUUACCGACAUUCCUCAUCAUACAGAGGUCCGCUGGCUGAGUUGGGAUAAAAGUUCUCAAUAGAGGUUUUGAGCUCAGCAAGGAAAUCUGUCAGUUCAUGAUCAGUUGGCAUGUAUGAUGUGGUGAAGGCAUUUCAAGUGAAGCUGUCACCAGUGCAACCUGCCUCACUUUCUCUGUUGCCAAGUAAUGUUGAACCAAGUCAGCGCACUUUACUGAACUACACCUGUGCAGAUUCAGAUGGAGCUGCAGUGUAAUGAUGCACUCAGGCAAAAUACGACACUGAAUGGCCCGAAGAGUUUAUUAGUUUAUUAGUUCCACUCCUGAAGCAGUGCCCAGCUCCGUCUACAUGCGGCUCCAACCUUGUGUUUGCUUUCAUUUAUUUUUUCUGGGGUUUUGGCAGCAUGUUCAUA